AGUAGUUUGAUCAGUGGCUCGAGGACGAACGCUGGCGGCGUGCCUAACACAUGCAAGUCGAACGGAACUAUUAUGACUGAUUCCUUCGGGAUGAAGAAUUUUUAGUUUAGUGGCGGACGGGUGAGUAACGCGUGAGUAACCUGCCUCUGAGAGGGGAAUAACGUUCUGAAAAGAACGCUAAUACCGCAUAACACAUAUUUGCCGCAUGACAGAUAUGUCAAAGAAUUUAUCGCUCGGAGAUGGACUCGCGUCCGAUUAGUUAGUUGGUGAGGUAACGGCUCACCAAGACCGCGAUCGGUAGCCGGACUGAGAGGUUGAACGGCCACAUUGGGACUGAGACACGGCCCAGACUCC
rnacentral:rRNA from 1 species